UGUCAACCACCAGAACCACAGUCACUUCAAAAUUCAUGGAAAGUUAUCAAAAAAACUAAAACGCGUCAUCUACUGUCAGUAAUAUUACAAGUUAAUGGCAAUCCUGGACAACCAGUCUCACCGAAGGAAGUUGACAUGCAGAGGCCUUGUUGUACUGUUCCUCUUGAUGGUGGAGAGAUCUUACGCUGUGGCAACGGGCAAGAGAAGCUAAAACCGAUCUAAGCUGUUUCUGUCAUGGUCUUCAUCCCAAGAUUAGGAAGCAAGAUACUCGAGUUGCUUUCUCAGCAUCUCCAUCUCCUGUCAACCCAAGGACGGGAAGAUCACACUAUGCACACCCUCUCACCAGCACCAACAGAGUGCGGGCCAAGCUUCUGUGGGCCUUCUGCACACCAGAGAAACUGAACCACGGAUGUGUUUUGUUAAUUCUGUUUACUCAAGUAUUCUACCUAGCGUGGACAACCCGACACACCUGGGAGGUUCUCUCUCUUUCUUCAUACAUUUCUUCCAGUUUUGACCGCAGCUGCUCCUUUUCCUGAAAUGCUCUAGACUCCAAAGUUCUGGUUCGCUCAAUCUCCUCACCCAUUCUGUGGCAGACCUUCUCCUUACUCUGAAGGGCACUUUGGACUUCUUCUAGCCUGGAAGAAUAGCAUUACUAACAGUAUUGCAAGAAAAUAUA